rnacentral:lncRNA from 1 species
GGCCUGGCUUGUGACGCCCGCUCCAAAAGGCAUGAGACUGAUGCGGGUUUCCCCGGGUGCCCGGGCCUCUCCAAACUGGGAGAGCUUGCCGGAGGUGCCCACCGAGGGGCGACCCAGGACUGCGCUUGGUCACCCACGAUGCCCACGUACCGGAUCCGCGGCUCGCACCGCCCAGCGUGUAGCCAGCCUGCGGCGCGCUUCCGGGUAGGACACGUGACUCAGCCACAUGACCGGGGCCUGCUUUGUGGGUUCGAGCCCCGCCCCGUCAGGCAUUGCUCACCCUUCAGGCUACUGUGCUUGCUGGUCACCCGCCGCUAGGGAGCCGUGCCACGUUCACCCUGGCAUAAGUAGGUAUCUCACUGCCUUUAGAGGCACCAGCUGAGCCGGUGACAUUUCUAGAGUCUCUUUUGCUUGAUUUAGCUAAAGGGAUUCCCCACAGAUUUACAGAAGGGGCAACUGAGAACCCCGAGGGAACCCCCUUGCUGAAGAAGGAACAAAUGGAACCAGAACCCAGGUUUCCUUGCACCUUCACCUGGCCCUUCCCAGCCUUUCGUUUUCUUGCCGAAUCUAGUUGUAGGUGAAAGGUACCCUUUUUGUGGGUGCUUUCCCUUACUUACCUCCAGGGGGCGGAACCCGUGUGUCUUAGUCAGGGUUUCUAUUCCUGCACAAACAUCAUGACCAAGAAGCAGUUUGGGGAGGAAAGGGUUUAUUCGGCUUACACUUCCAUACUGUUGUUCAUCACCAAAGGAAGUCAGGACUGGAACUCGAGCAGGUCAGGAAGCAGGAGCUGAUGCAGAAGCCAUGGAGGGAUGUUCUUUACUGGCUUGCUCAGCCUGCUCUCUUAUAGAACCCAAGACCACCAGCCCAGAGAUGGUCCCACCCACAAGGGGCUUUUCCCCCUUGAUCACUAAUUGAGGAAAUGCCUUACAGCUGGAUCUCAUGGAGGCAUUUCCUCAACUGAAGCUCCUUUCUCUGUGAUAACCCCAGCUGUGUCGAGUUGACACAAAACCAGCCAGUACACCAUGCAGAAGAGCCCAGCUACCUUUGGGCUCCUUGAUUUACAAAGGUUCCCAGUCUGACUGAGGGCUGCAUACACAUUAGGGCUUUUGUCUUGAACCUGCGAGUGAUUGCAUACUAUCAAGAUUUUUAUGUGUAUUUGGAGGGGCAGAAAGAGUGAAGAAGGCCAAUGGAGUCCACAGAAGAGGUUGGGCGCCUACCACAGGUCCUCAUUGGGUACCUUGGUGCUUCUGAGAAACUUUGUGUACGACCCAGCAUGAGCACUCCGCACCCACUAGGCAGAGGCCAAGAGCCAGUGCUGCGGCCACUCUAGCUACCUAAGGUACAAUUAAACAACAUCGCAAACGCCUGCGCCUGCGCCUUCGCCACCACCCUGCUCAGCCAGGCUCCACAGUACAGCCACAAGCAUCAGUCUCCUGGAGUCCUGAAUCUGCCGACACUAUCCUGACUUCGGUCGGUCAUUUCCCCCUUGUUUCAAACAGUUUGUAAGCCUGAAUAACUGUUACCCGUGAACAAUUUAUAACUAAUCUAGUCCAUGUUACCUGAUGCUAGUGACUUGUGUCUUGCAGAUGACUAAAGAAUGGCGCCGAUCAUCUCUUCAUGUGGUUUUUCUCUUCAUUUGUGUAGCUUUAAAAUUUUUUUUGCUUUCAAAUAAACAUUUAUUCAUAUCUUCUACCCCUUUUAUUAUUAUUAUUAUUAAUCUAUUUUUAGCCAUUGACUUAUUAUUGGAUUGUAAGAUUUCUUUAUGUUGUAGAUAUGUUUUAAGUUAGAUAUAUAUUAAAAAUACCAUUAUU